GAGCCCAUGUCCCCUGCAUUGGCAGGCGGAUUCUUAACCACUGCACCACCAGGGAAGUCCUGAAGAGAAAAACCUUAAUUUAAAGAAAGCACAUGUUCAAUGAGCUGAUUGGACAUUGUCUACAACUAAAAGUCUUCUUACUUUUGCUACAACUCCAUGAAAAUAUUGAACAAAAGUUGUAAUGACAAGCAACUUUAAUUUGUUACUAACUUGAGUAUGAAUUCUUCUAAAAUUUCACAGAUCCCAUGGACACAAGACUUCCCACCAUUCAGUGCAGCCUCCUUGGCAAUGGGGUGCAUCUUGUUUGAUUCCUGAGGCCACGGCAGCCACUUCCCUAACUUGUGGCUGAGUCCCCACUGCGUGUUUCCUGGACAUCUACUCUUUCCUUUGCCCGUUUUGCUUGGGCUCCUUUAGACCCCUGCCAAGGUAAGACUACUCUUACCCUAUUCACACCCCCAAAGAAUUGAUGCUCUCCUGGGUUAUAUUUUAUUGUGUGAACUCAUGGCUCUAUGUUCCUACUUCUGACUGAGCUCUCAUGUUCAGACUACUCAUUUAGACCCAUAAAUGUAAGGGAAAGGAAAGUGCUCAAAGAUGAUGAGGAAAACAUACUAACUGCAAAGAAC